GGUUACUGCUAUCGAGAUUCGAUUAAGCCAUGCGAGUUGAAUGUUCUUCGUGAACAUGGCGGACUGCUCAGUAACACGUGGACAACCUACCCUUGGAUCUGGGAUAAACCCGGGAAACUGGGCAUAAUACCGGAUAAGUCACAUAUGCUGGAAUGCUUUGUGGCUCAAAGCUCCGGCGUCCAAGGAUGGGUCUGCGGCCUAUCAGGGUAGUAGUGGGUGUAAUGUACCUACUAGCCUACGACGGGUACGGGUUGUGAGAGCAAGAGCCCGGAGAUGGAUUCUGAGACACGAAUCCAGCCCCUACGGGGUGCAGCAGGCGCGAAAACUUUACAAUGCGGGAAACCGCGAUAAGGGAAUCUCGAGUGCCAGCAUAUAAUGUUGGCUGUCCAGAUGCCUAAAAAGCAUUUGUUAGCAAGGCCCGGGCAAAACCGGUGCCAGCCGCCGCGGUAACACCGGCGGCCCGAGUGGUAACCGUUAUUAUUGGGUCUAAAGGGUCUGUAGCCGGCCAAAUAAGUCCCUUGGGAAAUCUGGCAGCUUAACUGUCAGGCUGUCAGGGGAUACUGUUUGGCUUGGGACCGGGAGAGGUGAGAGGUACCUCGGGGGUAGGGGUGAAAUCUUGUGAUCCUCGAGGGACCACCAGUGGCGAAGGCGUCUCACCAGAACGGGUCCGACGGUAAGGGACGAAAGCUAGGGGCACGAACCGGAUUAGAUACCCGGGUAGUCCUAGCCGUAAACGAUGCUUGCUAGGUGUCAGCCACGGUGCGACCGUGGUUGGUGCCGUAGGGAAGCCGUGAAGCGAGCCACCUGGGAAGUACGGCCGCAAGGCUGAAACUUAAAGGAAUUGGCGGGGAGCACUACAACGGGUCGAGC
rnacentral:rRNA from 1 species